UCUGUGUGUCUGUGUGUCUGUUUGUGUGUGUAUGUGUCUGUUUGUGUGUGUGUUUGUGUGUUUGUGCUCAGGUGUAAAGUGAGUGCAGAGCUCAGCCUGUCCUCUGGCGCCCCCUGUGUGGCUCAGUGUGAGAAGUGCAGCUGUGACAUCAGGGCGACCUUCACCCCGUCCCUCCUCCACCCGUACAGCACCGUCCUGGGACACCUCCAGCUCCACAACACCACCGCCCUCGACCUCCUGCUCAACCGCUGCCUCUUCACUGUCGGCUGUUUGACCUGCUCCCACGACUCAGCUGUAGAGAAUCUGUCCUACGGCCAAACCAAAGAGUUAAACUGUGAGCACUGCCACGACAAACUCAGCCUCCAGGUCCAAAGUGCACGAUUCCUGCUGAUUCAGCCCCGCAGCAGCAAAACAGGUCCGAGCGACAGCACCGUCCACCUGAGAGCACCCCGAGACCCCGCCGUGCAGAAGGGCAAGCCCCUCCCCCAGAAAGGAGCCUGUAAACACUACAGACAGAGCCACCGCUGGC